CUUCCAUUGGACUCCGUUGUAGCGCCUACUUCCGGGGUAUGGAGCCUCGAAUAGUUCCAAACAACCAUUUUACGGCGUAGGUGACCGUUCAUUUCCAUUGCUGGCCGCCGAGUAACUUCUGAGGGUGAUGUUCAGCACAUGAAGCCCUACAGAUGCCGCCGAUUCAACAAUGCUGAUUAUGAUGGGCGGUGAAUUUAACCUUUGCCUUAUUAGGUCCUCCACAGUCGCCCCAUCAGUCCCUGGCAGUCUGGUCCCUGGAGCAGCUGGCCCUGGCAAAGUUAUUCCUUCACUGUUGACCCCUGACUGACUGGCCCUCAGCACACACAUCCCUGGAUCACCUGCCCCUGAAUCACCUGCCCCU